rnacentral:rRNA from 1 species
UACGUAGGGUGCGAGCGUUAAUCGGAAUUACUGGGCGUAAAGUGUGCGCAGGCGGCGCCGCAUGUCGAGUGUGAAAGCCCCGGGCUUAACCUGGGAAUGGCGCUUGAAACUACAGGACUGGAGUAUGGCAGAGGGAGGUGGAAUUCCACGUGUAGCGGUGAAAUGCGUAGAGAUGUGGAGGAACACCGAUGGCGAAGGCAGCCUCCUGGGCCAAUACUGACGCUCAUGCACGAAAGCGUGGGGAGCAAACAGG